UCAUGGCCGCCCAACUGUCUUUGCAAUUGCAUCUGCUCGCUGCCGUUACUCCAAGCUCUACUCAGUUCGUCGUAGCGUGACCGUGCCUUUCUAAAUGGGGAGAUAUGAAACUGUGUACAAAUCGAAAACGAUAGAAGGGAGCUAUAGCUGCAGUCGCUUCACGCAAUAAUAGCGAAAAAAGUCGCCUAUCAACCCUCCUAGGCUUCUAGCAAGAGGUCCAGGACCACAGGCAUAACUGGCUUGUGACAGCCAUUAGCGACGUUGCUUUUUGAUCCUUCGAUCAGGGCUAUUCCUGUCAUUGCGAAACAGAACUCGCCGCCAAUCGUUGCCCACCAAUAGGGGUCGUGAGCUGAGCUUUGACCGCUGUGAGACAGGUUAAUUUCACCCUA
rnacentral:ncRNA from 1 species